rnacentral:rRNA from 1 species
GGCCGUCGUCAGCUCGUGUCGUGAGAUGUUCGGGUUAAGUCCGCUAACGAGCGCAACCCUCGCUGUGUGUUAUAUGUGUCACACGGGACUGCCGGUCUUAAGCCGGAGGAAGGUGGGGAUGAUGUCAAGUCAGCAUGGCCUUUAUAUCCUGGGCUACACACACGCUACAAUGGCCAACACAAUAGGUUGCUAAGCCGCGAGGUGGCGCCAAUCCAUAAAGUUGGUCUCAGUUCAGAUUGUAGGCUGCAACCCGCCUGCAUGAAGAUGGAGUUGCUAGUAACCGCAGGUCAGCUAUACUGCGGUGAAUACGUUCCCGGGGCUU